AUCAACCUCAGGAGGUUCAGAAGUUCACUCAUAACCUGCAGAAGAGCAGGACUGUGGGCCCAGGCACAUGUGGUGGCCCAUCAGCUCUGAGUCCUUUCUCUGCAUCCUUGGCCAGUGGGGCUUCAUAUUCAAAGGUCUCCAAGGAGCGACAAGGCAAGGAUGUGGCCCAGGUUUGCAGGAAAAUUUGCCAUGCCUGGGUCAUGUGGAUAUCUGAAGCAGGCUGCCCUCCUUUCCAUCUCUUCAGUGCUAAGCAAUGAUCAGCACCCCAUGAAGUUUGGAGAGGAAAUAUACAUAAAGCCUGCGGAGCGUGUUUUCAGACCUGUCCUUAGACAUGACAUUUGCAGAUGAAAUGAUACAUCACUGGACCACACAGUUAUCACAAUCAGCA
rnacentral:lncRNA from 1 species